rnacentral:rRNA from 1 species
AUUGAACGCUGGCGGCAGGCCUAACACAUGCAAGUCGAGCGAGCGGCGGACGGGUGAGUAAUGUCUGGGAAACUGCCUGAUGGAGGGGGAUAACUACUGGAAACGGUAGCUAAUACCGCAUACCAUCGGAUGUGCCCAGAUGGGAUUAGCUGGUAGGUGGGGUAAAGGCUCACCUGGGCGACGAUCCCUAGCUGGUCUGAGAGGAUGACCAGCUACACUGGAGCGGCGGCACGGCCCAGACUCCUACGGGAGGGAGCAGUGGGGAAUACUGCACAAUGGGCGCAAGGCUGUGGCAGCCAUGCCGCGUGGAUGAAGAAGGCAGUCGGGUUGUAAAGUCUGUGCAGCGGGGAGGCGUGACCGGCUGAAGAAUCCCGGGCUAACUCCGUGCCAGCAGCCGCGGUAAUAC